rnacentral:rRNA from 1 species
CCUACGAGAGGCUGCAGUGGGGAAUAUUGCACAAUGGGGGGAACUCUGAUGCAGCGACGCCGCGUGAGUGAAGAAGUAAUUCGUUAUGUAAAGCUCUAUCAGCAGGGAAGAAAGUGACGGUACCUGAAAAAGAAGCUCCGGCUAAAUACGUGCCAGCAGCCGCGGUCAUACGUAUGGAGCAAGCGGUAUCCGGAUUUACUGGGUGUAACGGGAGAGGUGGUGGCAGAGCAAGUCCGAAGUGAAAACCCAAAGCUCAACUAUGGGAAUGCUUUAGAAACUGCUCAGCGAGAGGGCAGGAGAGGGAAGUGGAAUUCAUGGUGUAGCGGUGAAAUGCGUAGAUAUUAGGAGGAACACCAGUGGCGAAGGCGGCUUGCUGGACUGUAACUGACACUGAGGCUCGAAAGCGUGGGGAGCAAACAGGAUUAGAUACCCGGUAGUC